rnacentral:miRNA from 1 species
CAGGAGAGUCAGGGGCAAGUAG